UACGUAGGGGGCAAGCGUUGUCCGGAUUUAUUGGGCUUAAAGGGUGCGUAGGCGGCCCUGUAAGUCAGUGGUGAAAUAUCUCAGCUUAACUGAGAGGGUGCCAUUGAUACUGCAGGGCUUGAGUACAGAUGAGGUAGGCGGAAUUGACGGUGUAGCGGUGAAAUGCAUAGAUAUCGUCAAGAACACCGAUAGCGAAGGCAGCUUACCAAGCUGUAACUGACGCUGAGGCACGAAAGUGUGGGGAUCAAACAGG
rnacentral:rRNA from 1 species